rnacentral:sRNA from 1 species
UGGCAGAAACUGACCAUCAGCUUGGCA